rnacentral:rRNA from 1 species
AGAUUUUGUUUAUGGCUCAGAUUGAACGCUGGCGGUGCAGGGGUAGCCCAUAGAAGCUUGCUUCUUGGGUGACGAGCGGCGGACGGGUGAGUAACGCGUGGGAAUCUGCCUGGUAGUGGGGGACAACCGCCGGAAACCACUGCUAAUACCGCAUACUCCCUUCGGGGGAAAGUGGGGGUCUUCAGACCUCACGCUAUCAGAUGAGCCCGCGUCGGAUUAGCUUGUCGGCGAGGUAAAGGCUCACCAACGCGAUGAUCCGUAGCUGGUCUGAGAGGAUGACCAGCCACACUGGGACUGAGACACGGCCCACACUCCUACGGGAGGCAGCAGUGGGGAAUAUUGGACAAUGGGGGCAAUCCUGAUCCACCCCUGCCGCGUGUGUGAAGACGGCCUUCGGGUUGUACAGCACCUUCAGCUCUGAAGAAAGGCCAUUGGCUAAUACCCGCUUGCUGCGACGUCAACACCUCAAGAAUGACCGGUUAACUCCGUCCCACCAGCCGCGGAAAUACUGAGGGUCCUAGCGUUAAUCGGAAUUACUGGGCGCAAAGCGCGCGUAGGUGGUUCACUCAGUCAGAUGUGAAAGCCCCGGGCUCUGCCUGGGAACUGCACCUGAUACUGCUGAGCUAGAGUACGGCAUAGGGUAUUGCAAUUUCCGGCGUUACGGUGAAAUGUGUAGAGAUCGGAAGGAACACCAGUGGCGAAGGCGACUACCUGGACCGAUACUGACAAUGAGGUGCGAAAGCGUGAGUAGCAAACAGGAUUAGAUACCCUGGUAGUCCACGCCGUAAACGAUGUCAAAUAGCCGUUGGGGGACAUGAUCCUUUAGUGGCGAAGCUAACGCGAUAAGUUGACCGCAUGGGGAGUACGGCCGCAAGGUUAAAACUCAAAUGAAUUGACGGGGGCCCGCACAAGCGGUGGAGCAUGUGGUUUAAUUCGAAGCAACGCGAAGAACCUUACCUACUCUUGACAUCCAGAGAACUUUCCAGAGAUGGAUUGGUGCGUUCGGGAACUCUGAGACAGGUGCUGCAUGGCUGUCGUCAGCUCGUGUUGUGAAACGUUGGGUUAAGUCCCGAAACGAGCGCAACCCUUAUCCUUAUUUGCCAGCGAGUAACGUCGGGAACUGUAAGGCGACUGCCGGUGACAAUCCGGAGGAAGGUGGGGAUGACGUCAAGUCAUCAAGGACCUUACUAGUAGGGCUACACACGUACUGCAAUGGCCGGUACAGAGUGGUGCAAACUUGCGGGAGUAAGCUAAUGUCUCAAAACCGGUCGUAUUCCGGAUCGCAGUCGGCAACUCGACAGCAAGAAGUGGGGAUCGCUAGUAAGCUUGAAUCAGAAUGGCACGGCGAAGAGGUUCCCGGGCCUUGCAGUCACCCCCGUC